rnacentral:Y_RNA from 1 species
CCGGCGAAUGCCGUGCGGCACUCCAGGCUGAUAAACCUCGUGGACGCGGGUUCGAGUCCCGCCGCGCCCGAAAUUCGCAGGCGCGUAGCUCAGUUGGACAGAGCACGACGUGUCGCCGAUCCCUUGUCGCCGGGGC